GUGGGGAAUAUUGGACAAUGGGGGGAACCCUGAUCCAGCCAUGCCGCGUGUGUGAAGAAGGCCUUUUGGUUGUAAAGCACUUUAAGCGAGGAGGAGGCUACCGAGAUUAAUACUCUUGGAUAGUGGACGUUACUCGCAGAAUAAGCACCGGCUACCUCUGUGCCAGCAGCCGCGGUAAUACAGAGGGUGCAAGCGUUAAUCGGAUUUACUGGGCGUAAAGCGCGCGUAGGUGGCCAAUUCAGUCAAAUGUGAAAUCCCCGAGCUUAACUUGGGAAUUGCAUUCGAUACUGGUUGGGUAGAGUAUGGGAGAGGAUGGUAGAAUUCCAGGUGUAGCGGUGAAAUGCGUAGAGAUCUGGAGGAAUACCGAUGGCGAAGGCAGCCAUCUGGCCUAAUACUGACACUGAGGUGCGAAAGCAUGGGGAGCAAACAGGAUUAGAAACCCGGGUAGUCC
rnacentral:rRNA from 1 species